rnacentral:rRNA from 1 species
GACGAAGGUGGCAAGCGUUAUUCGGAUUUACUGGGCAUAAAGCGCGCGUAGGCGGCUUGGCAAGUCGGGGGUGAAAGCCCGCAGCUCAACUGCGGAACUGCCUUCGAUACUGCCGGGCUUGAGGGCGGGAGGGGUGAUUGGAACUCCAGGUGUAGCGGUGAAAUGCGUAGAUAUCGGGAGGAACACCAGUGGCGAAGGCGGCGAUCUGGGUCGAUACUGACGCUGAGGUGCGAAAGCGUGGGGAGCAAACAGG